GACGGGGGGGGCAAGUGUUCUUCGGAAUUACUGGGCGUAAAGGGCACGUAGGCGGUGACUCGGGUUGAAAGUGAAAGUCGCCAAAAAGUGGCGGAAUGCUCUCGAAACCAAUUCACUUGAGUGGGACAGAGGAGAGUGGAAUUUCGUGUGUAGGGGUGAAAUCCGUAGAUCUACGAAGGAACGCCAAAAGCGAAGGCAGCUCGCUGGGUCCCUACCGACGCUGGGGUGCGAAAGCAUGGGGAGCGAACAGG
rnacentral:rRNA from 1 species